AGCGAACGCUGGCGGCAGGCUUAACACAUGCAAGUCGAACGGGCGUAGCAAUACGUCAGUGGCAGACGGGUGAGUAACGCGUGGGAACGUACCUUUUGGUUCGGAACAACCCAGGGAAACUUGGGCUAAUACCGGAUAAGCCCUUACGGGGAAAGAUUUAUCGCCGAAAGAUCGGCCCGCGUCUGAUUAGCUAGUUGGUGAGGUAACGGCUCACCAAGGCGACGAUCAGUAGCUGGUCUGAGAGGAUGAUCAGCCACAUUGGGACUGAGACACGGCCCAAACUCCUACGGGAGGCAGCAGUGGGGAAUAUUGGACAAUGGGCGCAAGCCUGAUCCAGCCAUGCCGCGUGAGUGAUGAAGGCCCUAGGGUUGUAAAGCUCUUUUGUGCGGGAAGAUAAUGACGGUACGCAAGAAUAAGCCCCGGCUAACUUCGUGCCAGCCGCCGCCGU
rnacentral:rRNA from 1 species